GACGAACGCUGGCGGCGUGCUUAACACAUGCAAGUCGAACGGAAAGGCCCUGCUUGCCGGGUACUCGAGUGGCGAACGGGUGAGUAACACGUGGGUUAUCUGCCCUGCACUUCGGGAUAAGCCUGGGAAACUGGGUCUAAUACCGGAUAGGAGCCAUUUUUAGUGUGAUGGUUGGAAAGUUUUUUCGGUGUAGGAUGAGCUCGCGGCCUAUCAGCUUGUUGGUGGGGUAAUGGCCUACCAAGGCGGCGACGGGUAGCCGGCCUGAGAGGGUGGACAGCCACAUUGGGACUGAGAUACGGCCCAGACUCCUACGGGAGGCAGCAGUGGGGAAUAUUGCACAAUGGGCGCAAGCCUGAUGCAGCGACGCCGCGUGGGGGAGGACGGCCUUCGGGUUGUAAACUCCUUUCGCUAGGGACGAAGCUUUUUGUGACGGUACCUAGAGAAGAAGCACCGGCUAACUACGUG
rnacentral:rRNA from 1 species